rnacentral:rRNA from 1 species
CUUCUUCCAGAUUAGCGCUGGGCAUCAAAAAUUUCUUCGCGAGGUAGACCGUGUGGAGAUCAGACACUCUGAAGAUGGAAUUCCUGGGCGACCAUGAACUAUCAAGGUACAGUCUUGUUCCGCCUCCCUCUGCAGAAUCAAGGAGGACUGCCGGGGAGUUGGACCAAAAUGGCUCAGUGUCAUCAGGACUGAUGUCCAGGCUCGGGGUGCUAGAACGAACGGGCGCUGCAUCGGCGCAUCAUGUUCAAGCCCCUGUACGCGUGGCAAGGGUGGGUGUGUGCGAGAGUUUUGGCACGCAAGGAUCUGCCUCGUCCCAGGCGAGUGCGGAUGAUGCGGUGGUGGGGGAUUCGGGAGGGCAAGAUGCGACCGCUGAGGCAACAUCUGGAUGGAUUAAAAGGGUGCGUGUGGGAAAGGCUGCUGUCGAAAGGGAGUUCAAUCCGAACAGAAAAAGUGCUCUGGAAAUUUCUGUUAGGGAAUUUGUUGAACACAAGGAGGGAAUUGUAGUGAACCCAACCAUUGGCAAAUCCUUUGAUUCCCUGGACGAGGCUUAUGACUUCUACAACCUAUAUUCAUGGGAAAGCGGAUUUGGGGUUAGGUUAGCAAAGAGCCGAUUGAAUGUUCACCGAAUGAAAUGUAUGCAGGAGAUUGUCUGUGGUUGCGCGGUAUGUGUCACACCAUGCUAAUUGAACAUUACAUAUCCUUGUUGUUUAAUUCCAAUUUUCUGUUUGGUCUCAUUGCAUGCUUAUCAUCCCACUGGGGAAGCCCGUCAAAGAAAACAGCAGGUCCACAAGGUGCGAGUGUACAGCCAUGAUCAGAUUGUUGAGGUCAUCAGACAAUGGUUGGUACAUAUGCGAACAGCGUACAGUUCACAACCACCGCAUGUCUCUGACUUGCGGAGAGAAGUUGCAUUGGAAAUCACACAGGCACAUUGAUAGGUACACUAGGAAUCUGGUGCAGCAUCUCAGGGAGAAUAACGUUAGUCUUAGCAAGGUCUACAGCAUUGUUGGUAGUUUUUUUGGAACUUUGGAGAAUGUACCAUUCACCAAGAGGUCUUUGCGCACACUGUGUGGCAAGUUGAGCAGGGAGCAAUCGGACAAUGAUGCUACCAAGACAAUAGGUCUCCUCCAAGAUUUAAAAGCAGCAAAUCGUGAUUUUACAUACAACAUCCAGGUCGAUGAAGAGAGCCAUGUAAAAACACUGAUGUGGGCGACGGGUCGGGGAAUCGAGCAGUACAAGUAUUUCGGUGAUGCUAUAACUUUCGACACCACUUACCGGACGAACUUGUACGAUAUGCCUUUUGGCUUAUUUGUUGGAGUAAACAAUCACUUCCAGAGUAUUAUAUUUGGCGGUGUCAUGAUGCGGGACGAGAAGGUCGAAAGUUUCAAAUGGGUGUUCAAGGAGUUUAUCAGAAUGGUUGGUGGGAAGGCUCCACUAACCAUACUAACCGACCAAGCGCGUGCUAUGGAGUUGGCAAUUAAAGCUGAACUACCUGACACAACUCACCGGUGGUGCAAGUGGCACGUUCUUCGGAAGGCGAAGGAGAGCCUUGGAGUACUCUAUGGCAAGAAAUCAGAGUUCAAGACGGACUUCCACAUUCUUGUUCACCAUGUGUUGACGGUGGAAGAAUUUGAGACUGGGUGGAGUGAUAUGCUAACAAAGUAUGGUUUGCAGAAGCAUCCAUUCCUGACUCAGGUUUAUGAAAUGCGGAAGAUGUGGGCAAAACCUUACUUCAUGGGUGUGUUCUGUGCCAAGAUGACUAGUACGCAGAGGAGUGAAAGUGCAAAUCACCUACUAAAGGGAUACAUCCCACCUGGUUGCCCAAUGCAUCUGUUUGUUAAGCAGUUUGAGAAAAUACAGUUCGAUCGCGAGUCUGAGGAGAGUUAUCAGGAAAAGAGGACAUCGAUAGCCGGAAUUGUUUUGAAGGGGAACUUCCCCCUUGAACGGCACGCAAGCAAAAUAUACACCAGAACUAUGUUUGAGCAAUUUGGAGAUGAGUUGUACAAAUCCGGUUCGUACGACAUCGAGGAAGUUGUUUCGCAGAAAAUUUAUUUGGCGAAUUAUGUUGACUCGCCAUCAAGGGAAAAGUGGUGCAAAGCUAGUUUCAAGGUGGAAACAAACGAGUCGAAGGAUGAAUUCAUAUGUGAGUGUGGGUUCUUUGCCCACUCUGGGAUGUUGUGCUGCCACGCGAUUAAGGUUAUACUACACGUCCGUCUGGGUGAGAUUCCAGCGAAACAUGUUGUCAAGCGAUGGACUAGGGAUGCACGGGACAUUCUCCCUGAGGAUCUAGUGAUGUAUCAGAAUGAUCAAGGGCGGCCGAAGUCAGAUACUACAAGACAUACCAAGCUGUAUUUAUCCGCGCUAGAGCUUGUUCGAAUGGGUGACGCAAAUGUACAAUCUUACGAAGCGACCAUGUUACUGCUGCAACAAGCUAAAGCCAAGCUGGCACCAAUUUGUGCGGAACGAGAUGGGAUGGGUGUUGCAGAUAGGGAAGCUGCAGCACUAGCUGAUAGAACGGAAGACGGUGAGUUAGAUGGAGACGACGAUGUCAUCUCUUCAAUCAGCGCCCCGAAACGGAAUAGAGCAAUGGGAAGGCCAACCACAAGCCGCGACAAGCCGCCUUAUGAGAAGCCCGUGAAACGAUCUAGGUUCUGUAAGAUUUGUCGAAAGGAAGGUCAUAAGAGCACCACUUGCCCUGACUGUGGCGACCUUCCAAAACCUCCCAGGAAAGCUCCCAAGUGUUCAAACUGUGGUGUGCUUGGUCACAGGAGGAGCAGCUGUGGCAAGGAAAUACUGUAGACAUGAUUGAAUUGUUUCACCUGAGGCUGGCCCCAAUGCAGAGAACUUCAGCAAGAACUUCGGGUCCAACUCAGCAAGAAUUCCUACGUGGCAUUGAUUAAAUGAAGAGAGAGAGCUUUGGAGGAACUUAGCUAGUUCCGGUAACAUAGCGCUGCAUACGAGAAAAAAUUAAUGCUAAUCGAUCCUGUGUGCGGGCGGCCGGACGCAUCGCGAAGCAACCAAGAAAAUCCCCACCCGUGUGACUUUCUCUUCCUCCACGGCUGGGCCUCAUCCUUCUCCCUCCCUGCCGCCUUGGAGCUCCGGCGCCCCGCACUCCGUCUUGCCGGCCGGUGGCGGCUCUGGCAGGCGGCGCAAAGCCACCAGAUUCAUGGCCAAGUCCGGUGCCCGUAAGGACGCCGCGCAAGUCCGGCCAUCGGCCACCUCGCCGCCGCCGCAGCACUCCCCCGGCGCCACAGCAAGCCGCUCUCCACAGCUUCUCUUCUACCCUGGCGCCCCGACAAGAUCCUCGGCCACACCUGUACCCGCCUCUCAUGGAAUCCUCCUCAGCCAACCCUACAUGGAGGCAGAUGUAUACCUCUGCACCUGAAGGCCUGCUAAGUUUUGGACAAUUACUCAUGGUGACAUACCCAUGGUGACAUACCAGAAUUUGCCGAGGUACUUGAAAGAGAUGUUAGAGUUCGUGAUCGUCCAACGCAUAAGGCUCUUAAAAAUGAUUUGAUUGAGCAUAUAUGGAGAAAGUUUGGGCGCGAAUAGAUUAUAUCCAAGUCUUGAUGGAUGUAUUGCUAAAUAUGUUCUAUAUAUUUCAAUAAUAUAAUAUUACACUUUAUUAUUUGUUAUGAUCCAAAUUUGUGUUCUUUUAUUUAUCCAUAAGUAUC